GAUGAACGCUAGCUACAGGCUUAACACAUGCAAGUCGAGGGGCAGCAUUUCAGUUUGCUUGCAAACUGGAGAUGGCGACCGGCGCACGGGUGAGUAACACGUAUCCAACCUGCCGAUAACUCGGGGAUAGCCUUUCGAAAGAAAGAUUAAUACCCGAUGGUAUAAUUAGACCGCAUGGUCUUGUUAUUAAAGAAUUUCGGUUAUCGAUGGGGAUGCGUUCCAUUAGGCAGUUGGUGAGGUAACGGCUCACCAAACCUUCGAUGGAUAGGGGUUCUGAGAGGAAGGUCCCCCACAUUGGAACUGAGACACGGUCCAAACUCCCACGGGAGGCAGCAGUGAGGAAUAUUGGUCAAUGGGCGCAGGCCUGAACCAGCCAAGUAGCGUGAAGGAUGACUGCCCUAUGGGUUGUAAACUUCUUUUAUAUGGGAAUAAAGUUUUCCACGUGUGGAAUUUUGUAUGUACCAUAUGAAUAAGGAUCGGCUAACUCCGUGCCAGCAGCCGCGGUAAUACGGAGGAUCCGAGCGUUAUCCGGAUUUAUUGGGUUUAAAGGGAGCGUAGGUGGACAGUUAAGUCAGUUGUGAAAGUUUGCGGCUCAACCGUAAAAUUGCAGUUGAUACUGGCUGUCUUGAGUACAGUAGAGGUGGGCGGAAUUCGUGGUGUAGCGGUGAAAUGCUUAGAUAUCACGAAGAACUCCGAUUGCGAAGGCAGCUCACUGGACUGCAACUGACACUGAUGCUCGAAAGUGUGGGUAUCAAACAGGAUUAGAUACCCUGGUAGUCCACACAGUAAACGAUGAAUACUCGCUGUUUGCGAUAUACAGUAAGCGGCCAAGCGAAAGCAUUAAGUAUUCCACCUGGGGAGUACGCCGGCAACGGUGAGACUCAAAGGAAUUGACGGGGGCCCGCACAAGCGGAGGAACAUGUGGUUUAAUUCGAUGAUACGCGAGGAACCUUACCCGGGCUUAAAUUGCAUUUGAAUAUAUUGGAAACAGUAUAGCCGUAAGGCAAGUGUGAAGGUGCUGCAUGGUUGUCGUCAGCUCGUGCCGUGAGGUGUCGGCUUAAGUGCCAUAACGAGCGCAACCCUUAUCUUUAGUUACUAACAGGUCAUGCUGAGGACUCUAGAGAGACUGCCGUCGUAAGAUGUGAGGAAGGUGGGGAUGACGUCAAAUCAGCACGGCCCUUACGUCCGGGGCUACACACGUGUUACAAUGGGGGGUACAGAAGGCAGCUACCUGGUGACAGGAUGCUAAUCCCAAAAGCCUCUCUCAGUUCGGAUCGAAGUCUGCAACCCGACUUCGUGAAGCUGGAUUCGCUAGUAAUCGCGCAUCAGCCAUGGCGCGGUGAAUACGUUCCCGGGCCU
rnacentral:rRNA from 1 species